GACGAACGCUGGCGGCGUGCUUAACACAUGCAAGUCGAGCGGUAAGGCCCUUUCGGGGGUACACGAGCGGCGAACGGGUGAGUAACACGUGGGUGACCUGCCCUCAGCUCUGGGAUAAGCCUGGGAAACCGGGUCUAAUACCGGAUAUGACUCCAUGACGCAUGUUGUGGGGUGAAAGCCUUGUGCGGCUGAGGAUGGGCCCGCGGCCUAUCAGCUUGUUGGUGGGGUGAUGGCCUACCAAGGCGACGACGGGUAGCCGGCCUGAGAGGGCGACCGGCCACACUGGGACUGAGACACGGCCCAGACUCCUACGGGAGGCAGCAGUGGGGAAUCUUGCGCAAUGGGCGAAAGCCUGACGCAGCGACGCCGCGUGAGGGAUGACGG
rnacentral:rRNA from 1 species